ACCCUAUGAUUGGGUUUUUACAGAUGUUUUCGAAAGAUAAAAUAAAUUACAUCAUUCAGAAAUAACAAAAGUAAAUCACAUUAUUCUGAUGGGAUGUUUAUUCCUCACUUUUACUUUCUCUUUGGCUGAUGCUUUUCUUGAUCUCCCCGCUCCUUGCUUUUGCUUUCUGCAUUUCUGCUUUAUUUCCCACUGCGUCUCUGCUUUUCAAACUGCAGGGGUUGGAUUCUUUCUGCUUGCUGGGAUGAAAAAGUAGGGAAGCAUGAUAGGAAAGCAACAAAGUUGCACUACUGUCGCCAGCCAAUUGCCUUUUACUUUUCUUUUUCUCUUUUCCUAUUUCUGAAAUAUUCUUUCAACUAAUACAGCCCACUCAUCCCUCGGUAGAGAUCUGAAGC
rnacentral:lncRNA from 1 species